UGGGGAAUUUUGGACAAUGGGCGAAAGCCUGAUCCAGCAAUGCCGCGUGUGUGAAGAAGGCCUUCGGGUUGUAAAGCACUUUUGUCCGGAAAGAAAUCCUUGGCUCUAAUACAGUCGGGGGAUGACGGUACCGGAAGAAUAAGCACCGGCUAACUACGUGCCAGCAGCCGCGGUAAUACGUAGGGUGCAAGCGUUAAUCGGAAUUACUGGGCGUAAAGCGUGCGCAGGCGGUUUGCUAAGACCGAUGUGAAAUCCCCGGGCUCAACCUGGGAACUGCAUUGGUGACUGGCAGGCUAGAGUAUGGCAGAGGGGGGUAGAAUUCCACGUGUAGCAGUGAAAUGCGUAGAGAUGUGGAGGAAUACCGAUGGCGAAGGCAGCCCCCUGGGCCAAUACUGACGCUCAUGCACGAAAGCGUGGGGAGCAAACAGAUUAG
rnacentral:rRNA from 1 species